rnacentral:misc_RNA from 1 species
GUAGGUGAACCUGCGGAAGGAUCAUUACUGAGUUAGGGUCAUCAUUGGCCCGACCUCCAACCCUUUGUCUACCUUAUCUCAUGUUGCUUCGGCGAGCCCGUACUUUGAAAUAUAAGUACCGCCGGGGGCCUUCGGGCCUCUGGUCAGUGCCCGUCGAUAGCCAUUAUUAAACUCUUGUUUAACUGUGUCGUCUAAGUAAAAAGCACUUAAUAAAUUAAAACUUUCAACAACGGAUCUCUUGGUUUUG